GGCCUCGGCUGCUAGUGGUACCAAGGAGGCGGUAGGGUCUGCUCCUCAUCCGAAGGCUCUUGAGGCUGGAAGAUCGAGAUUUUCUCUGGGUUAUCAUAUGUCCGGUUUGGUCAACUGGGCAGCGAAACAUGCCCCUGAAGAAGAAAUUGCCGACCUUCUCACCAAGCGGCAUGAGUCCUUCAUCAACGACAUUGCUUCUGUCUGUUACAAGCCCAUGCCAAUGUUCCUGUCAACUUGAGAGAGAUUAAGGAAAAUAACCAGAAAGGACAUGGAGAUAGAGGCCCUUUGAAAUAAAGUCGGAUCACUUCGGGAGGAAUGGGAGGAGCUUUAGGGCUUACUGUCCGAGGAGAAGCUGAAAGUGUUGCUGUAUCAAGGGGAUGCUAUCAAGCUUUAAGCUCGUUGCAAUGAUAUCUCAUCCGAGCUUGCGGAGGUUAAAGCUCGCCUCGGUUCGGUUGAGGGGGAUAAUGCUCGUCUGAUGGCUGAGUUGGAACGGGCAAAAGUCGAUGCUACAGAAGAAUUGAAGGUCGCGGUCAAGGAGGCAAAAGCGGCCUAGCGUACUGAAUCCGGGGCUUCAGUUGCCUCGAUGAUUGCUGCUACCAUUGAGGAAUUUAAGUCCUCAGCAGAAAGGACUGCUGAAGCUAACAGGUUCUACUUCUGUGGCUACAAUGCUUGCAUUGACGACGUCCGGGAGCUAUACCCAGACAUCGACCUUGAUGCUCUUGCCACUGAGGAUGCCGAGGGGCCAGCCGAUGGAGGUCAGCCUUGCCGGGCUCUUGACACCGGGGUUCCUCCCUACUCUGAGGCUCCCCCUGCUCCUCAGCCUAUCGACCCCAAUCCUCCCGCCGAGUAGUUUUUAACUUUUUUCUUUCUGGAUGAUGAUUUUUGGAAAUUUCUGGAUGAUGAUUUUUGGAUGUUUCUGGAUGAUGAUUUUACGGAUAAUUAAUCCUUGGUUGAUGA